AAGAGGUUUCCUCUUCGCCCUCCAAGUGGAGCAGAGUAAAGAACCUAAAGAAAUACGAACAAGUCAAAAACGUUGGGGACCACAUGGACAAAAGACAAAGACAAAAUCGACAAGGGCUUUCUAAAAAUGGUCUGAGACAUCCACUCCACUGCAAGCAGUAGACCUCCAGAGAAUACUCCACCUCUGAUUGGACCAGGAGACCCUGAACCUUUGGACAUGGGGGAAUUUCUGUCCUUCCUGAAAUCCAGGAACCCUAAUUCGGCGAGAGGCCCAGAUGGCAUCUCGUUUAGGAUGCUGCAGCAACUUCCUGUGCUAGCCAGUCAUACCAGGGCUGAGUUUUUCCCAGGCCCCCAGGUCGCACAACAAACCAACUGUUCGGACAUCUCGAACAAAUACCAAAAAUAAACGCUAAUUACAAAAAAAAAAUACAACGGACUUUACUCUACAUCUAACGGACAAACAUCUCUCCGACACAGAAAAACUACAAAUCUGGG
rnacentral:lncRNA from 1 species